AUUGAACGCUGGCGGCAUGCCUUACACACGCAAGUCGAACGGUAGAGGGGGCAACCCCUUGAGAGUGGCGAACGGGUGAGUAAUGCAUCGGAACGUGCCCAGUAGUGGGGGAUAGCCCGGCGAAAGCCGGAUUAAUACCGCAUACGACCUACGGGUGAAAGCGGGGGACCUUCGGGCCUCGCGCUAUUGGAGCGGCCGAUGUCAGAUUAGCUAGUUGGUGGGGUAAAGGCCCACCAAGGCGACGAUCUGUAGCUGGUCUGAGAGGACGACCAGCCACACUGGGACUGAGACACGGCCCAGACUCCUACGGGAGGCAGCAGUGGGGAAUUUUGGACAAUGGACGAAAGUCUGAUCCAGCCAUGCCGCGUGCGGGAAGAAGACCUUCGGGUUGUAAACCGCUUUUGUCAGGGAAGAAAUCUUCUGGGCGAAUAACCUGGGAGGAUGACGGUACCUGAAGAAUAAGCACCGGCUAACUACGUGCCAGCCGCCGCAGUAACAC
rnacentral:rRNA from 1 species